rnacentral:rRNA from 1 species
CCUACGGGAGGCAGUAGUCGGGAAUAUUGCGCAAUGGAGGAAACUCUGACGCAGUGACGCCGCGUGCAGGAAGAAGGUUUUCGGAUUGUAAACUGCUUUUGACAGGGAAGUAAAAAGACAGUACCUGUAGUAUAAGCUCCGGCUAACUACGUGCCAGCAGCCGCGGUACUACGUAGGGAGCAAGCGUUAUCCGGAUUUAUUGGGUUUAAAGGGUGCGUAGACGGAUAAGCAAGUUAGUUGUGAAAUCCCUCGGCUUAACUGAGGAACUGCAACUAAAACUACUUCCCUUGAGUACUGGAGAGGAAAGUGGAAUUCCUAGUGUAGCGGUGAAAUGCGUAGAUAUUAGGAAGAACACCAGUGGCGAAGGCGACUUUCUGGACAGUAACUGACGUUGAGGCACGAAAGUGUGGGGAGCAAACAGGAUUAGAUACCCGAGUAGUC